rnacentral:rRNA from 1 species
UGGGGAAUCUUGGACAAUGGGCGAAAGCCUGAUCCAGCCACGCCGCGUGAGUGACGAAGGUCUUCGGAUUGUAGAGCUCUUUUGGCGGGGACGAUAAUGACGGUACCCGCAGAAUAAGCCCCGGCUAACUUCGUGCCAGCAGCCGCGGUAAUACGAAGGGGGCUAGCGUUGUUCGGAAUUACUGGGCGUAAAGGGCGCGUAGGCGGCAUGACAAGUCACUUGUGAAAUCUCUGGGCUUAACCCAGAACGGCCAAGUGAUACUGUCGCGCUAGAGUGCAGAAGGGGCAAUCGGAAUUCUUGGUGUAGCGGUGAAAUGCGUAGAUAUCAAGAGGAACACCUGAGGUGAAGACGGGUUGCUGGGCUGACACUGACGCUGAGGCGCGAAAGCCAGGGGAGCAAACGGGAUUAGAUACCCCCGUAGUCCCUGAGCGGGCUGGCAAGGCGCAU